GACGUGGGAGAUGAAUUGGAGGGAAGUGAAGAUAAUUGAUGGUGAGUCGAGAGAAGUAUAAAUAAUGAGAGUCUGUUGUAGAUAUUUUCUCAUGAAAGUUUGUUAGAGAAGAUUGAAGUCGUGAGAGGGUUUGUCUCUGCGAUUCAGUUUACUCAAGGAGAAGGGUCCUUGGGAUUCACUUUCGAUAUUCAAUAAUACAUGUGUGUCACAGAAUGAGAUCCCAACGUUCCCUUUUAUAGUUUACUUGAUACUUGGAGUGGAAGACUCGAAACUUAGUAACACAAAACAAAGACUCAAAACUUGGAGAGGGAGUCACUGCAUCCAUCUACUGCCGAGCAAUAAAUCAUAUCAAGUUUUUAAAAUCUAAAUCAUCAUCCAAGUUUUUGGGAAAGCUAAAAUCUACGGAAAAAUCAGAAACUAAAAAUUGAAAAACCCAAAAUCUAAAAACUAAAUAAAAAAACAAUAAUAUCAGUUUAAAAUCAAUUUAAAUUUUGGGAAAUAAGAAAAAAGGAAAGAUACAACUAAAAAGGAAACAGUGAACAACAUAUAAACAAACUAUCCAGGUUGCUUAGGUAGAUUGCUUAGAUUAAUUUUGAUUAAAAGAAAAAGAAAAUUAUCUUUUAAUUCAAGCACCGUCGCUUAAUUAGGAACAAUAAGCUACGUUGCUUAUCUCCUUCUCUCUCUCAUCUCUAUCUCUGUCUCUCUCCCCACUUCCUGAAAUCAGUAGAUUUCGAUUCCAAAAUGUCGUGAUUGAUCUCUUCUCUUGGGAUGAUCUCGUCGUCGUCUUUGAUCGUCUCGAGGGAUAGGGUUUGGGUUCGAUCGUCUCACCGCGUACGUCACCGUCUUCUCCUCCUCGCCGCCGUCCUUGUUCUGAUCCAAAAGCUCCUUCACUGAAACGCUAACUUCUCCGACGGGCUUAUCGCCGGCGAUGGGACGAUCAGCCACGAUCUCGAUGACUAAGAACCGAGCCUUCACAUGGAGGUAGAGGGAGAGAUGAGUUCAGGGAAGAGUAUGCUUGCCCCUUCUGCUCAGACUAUUUUUGAUAUCGUCUCUCUCUGCUGCCACAUAGACGAAGAUCAUCCCAUGGACACUAUCAAUGGGAUAACUUCUUGGGGUUUGAGGAGGUGGUCUUCUUAUUCCCUGGAGGAUGGCCGGAUUCUAACAAGUGAAUACUCUUCUUCUCUUCUCCUCUCUUGCCGUAUGUUUUGUGUAUUGAAUGGUCUCCUUUGAAGAACAUAAUAUUGGCAAAAGAAUCUUUAAAAUUUCUAAGCACCCUAAAAUAAGAGCCUUGCAAUGCAAUGGAGGAGGAAAAUGUCAAGUUGCUUAGCUAAGUCUCUUACCCAAAUUAUCUCCUUAAAUA